CUAUAACUUCUUCAUUAAGAUUUAGUUGUUAUGGUGCAAGAAGAGGGUGUGUACAUAUAUCUAAAUGUUAGCAGCCCGUAUAAAUCUGGUAAAAAGAUUUUGUAAUUUUUUUAACUUUUAACCAUAACAGUCAAAUAACAUCAAAUCAGUCAUACACACAUUUAAAAAACAAAACAAAAAAAACCAGAAGAGAUUAUAUGGAUUUAUUACAAUUUAUUAAUUAAGACCGUAAAACUUUCGCUGUAAAUAAAACUUAACUCCUAAUUUGAUGAAGCUUGGAGUCUGAUAAAUAUGUUGCUUAAAUUGACGUGUUAGAAUGGCAAGAGCUGUGGCACUUCAAUACUGGUUUAUAAAAAUUCAUUAAAUAUGUUAGAAUUCGUAAGGGAAUUAUUCAAAUGAAUUUAACGAGCUUAGAUUACAUUUGGAAUAUUGUCAUGUUUAGCAUUCUCAAACCAACAUAUUUGGACUUCAAAACCAUUAUGUCUCUCUAAUUUGUUAAACGUGUUGCAUUCUUUGGGUAUGAUGUUUGACAGAUUAUCCAUUAGUUAGUUUAUUUUUCUCCAUGCUUUACCGCAUUGUUGCGAUAGUAUCCCAGAAUUUAUUGAAAGGAUUAUGUGUAGAAUCAUGAAAUGUAAAAGAACAAUACAUUUAAUGCCUUACCCAGUUUGCUUUAAUUAAUAUUUCAAGAUCCUAGUCUACGUCUCUUACCUUACUCCUCUUUUUCACUUGGCAAUUAAAUGAUGAGAUGAUUUUGAUCCACAAACGGAGUCUGUGGUUUUAUAAUCGGUUCUCCCGAGUGCUCGUAGAUCUAAUUAGGAACCUCUGGUUAUCUUUUGGAUGAUUUAGCCAUCAUAAAUUUCUAUAUCAUAUCUCAACCAUGUAACCCCUUUUCUUUAUUAUAUCAUAAUAAAGAAGGCCAAUUAUUAGCUAUUCAAUUGUACUGCCAUUUAUAAAUAUUUAUUGUUUUAUACAGCUCAUAAAUGUUGAAUAUUACAAAUAAAAAACAGUCAAUAUCUAAAAAAAA